rnacentral:pre_miRNA from 1 species
AGCUCUCUGAAUCCGUCCAGAGAUUUCGUCAGACACCAACCCAUUAGGGCUGAUCAGACUUUUAAAAUAAGUUAAGUU